rfam:Gossypium raimondii Chr03_contig_1060, whole genome shotgun sequence.
UUGCAGUGAUGAACAAUUAUUCUGUGUACCAGAGGAUUCAUCUAUGACGGUAACACAAUCCCUCUAAGAAGUUCUGAGCUC